rnacentral:rRNA from 1 species
UGCAGCUUGCUGCGGGUACUCGAGUGGCGAACGGGUGAGUAACACGUGGGUGAUCUGCCUUGCACUUCGGGAUAAGCUUGGGAAACUGGGUCUAAUACCGGAUAGAACAGCUGUUUAGUGUCAGUUGUGGAAAGUUUUUUCGGUGCAAGAUGAGCUCGCGGCCUAUCAGCUUGUUGGUGGGGUAAUGGCCUACCAAGGCGUCGACGGGUAGCCGGCCUGAGAGGGUGUACGGCCACAUUGGGACUGAGAUACGGCCCAGACUCCUACGGGAGGCAGCAGUGGGGAAUAUUGCACAAUGGGCGGAAGCCUGAUGCAGCGACGCCGCGUGGGGGAUGAAGGCCUUCGGGUUGUAAACUCCUUUCGACAGGGACGAAGCGUAAGUGACGGUACCUGUAUAAGAAGCACCGGCUAACUACGUGCCAGCAGCCGCGGUAAUACGUAGGGUGCGAGCGUUGUCCGGAAUUACUGGGCGUAAAGAGCUCGUAGGUGGUUUGUCGCGUCGUCUGUGAAAUUCCGGGGCUUAACUCCGGGCGUGCAGGCGAUACGGGCUGACUUGAGUGCUGUAGGGGAGACUGGAAUUCCUGGUGUAGCGGUGAAAUGCGCAGAUAUCAGGAGGAACACCGAUGGCGAUGGCAGGUCUCUGGGCAGUAACUGACGCUGAGGAGCGAAA